CAAACAUUUCCUUAUUAUGUUACAAGUACAGAAAACGGAUUUAUAGAAAGAAAAAACAAAGGCUAACCCUCUAAACAGCCCCUUACUGAUACAAUUACAACCACUUUACCAAAGAAAUGUUGCCCAAAAUUGUGACAUUUUAUGCCAAGAAAGAUGAUAGGAUUACAAGAUCUUCUUCACUUACUGGAGAUACAGAUCUACAAUGGCGCGAAAUUUAAAAAAGAAAAAAAGAGAAUUGCGCAAACCCAUAAACCAUGGCUGCUGAUGGAUCACUGAAAAAUUAAUCAUCUUGCCAACAAUAUCUACCAUGAAGAUCCAAUGUUGUUGCCAACUGCUUCACUUCCUUCUGUUCUUAUUUCUAUUAAUUUUGACAAUCUUUCGACCUGAUUUGUCAGGACCAUUGCUACCCAAUGAGAAACUCCCUCCAGCACCUAAACUGCUUGAUGCUGCAAAUGGACAUGGAUUCUGAGCAGCAGCAGCUGCCUGAUUCUGCUGGCCACCAAACUGGAAUGGAUUAGGUGUUGAACCAAACAUGAAACCGCCAGGUGUGGGCGAGACAGAAGGUUGACCAAAAGCAACUGCAGGGGAAGAUGCAUGCAUAGUGUCCUCGGCCAUGCUGUCUUCCAUGUUCAUCUGGUUAUUAUUCCCAGGGGAUGCAGUAAAAGGAGAAGUAGAGUUCCCAAAUAUGGACUGUGUAGACGGAUUUGUCAAAGAUGUUGAACCAAAUGGAAAGGCUGGUCCAGUAGGGGUACUGGGUGCUGAUCCAAAGACAGCAGCAGUGGUGGCUGGAGGAGUAAAAGAAGAUGAAGAUGCUCCAAAUGCAAAUGCAGUAGGGGUAGCAGAACUAAAUGGGGAACUAAAGCCAGGAGACUUAGGGGCCUGCCAAUUGGAACCUAAAAUUCCAGCAGCACUGGAAGUUUGUGAGGAGGUAGAGCUGGCACCAAAAGCAAAUGGACUAGGACUGACUGUGCUGGAGGCAUUGACAGCAUUUGUUGACAGAACUGAGGAGCUAGCACCAAAACUGAAUACGCCGGGGGCAGCACUAGUGGAGGUACUGACAGUAUUUGUUGACGGAACUGAGGAGCUAGCACCAAAACUGAAUACGCCGGGGGCAGCACUAGUGGAGGUACUGACAGUAUUUGUUGAC
rnacentral:misc_RNA from 1 species